UAACAACCCUGCCCCUCCAAUUAAGAUUUCUCUCUCAGCUGGAUGUGCUAUCUGACAAACUUCUGAAGAUUUUUGAGAAGAGAGGAGGACAGAUAGGCCAGCGUCUGAACUGUAUUAUGUCAAACAUGACUCAAGUUGAUGAUGUUGAUUUAGGGCGGGAAUGUCUUCUCAAGGGGCUGUGUGUGCACCUCAAUGAGGACCCAGAAGAUCUGCUGAGAGAGUUUGUGGCAGAAGAUGAAGACGUCAUUCUGCGGUCCUUUGAGGGGAUUAUAGGGGGACUUUAUGUUGUCAAACACAAUUCCAC